rnacentral:tRNA from 1 species
GGAAUGGUUUUCAUUGGUAAGAUAAGACAUUUGCUAAGUGUUCGGAGUAAAAUCCUUAGGUGUUCGAGUCACCUCUGUUCCG